AAUUACAACCUUUUGACACAAUUUGUAAUAGUUUUUUUCUUAAUGAUUACAAUUAACAUCGGUAACAUUUGUCGCCAGCUCUUUGCGCGAAUUAACGCUCCAAAAUUUCACACAAAAAUCAAUCAACAGCGAACUUUUAAAUGCAUCUUGUAAUUAAUUGAUUGAUAAAAAAGUGUAAUGGUCGUUGCUUACUGUCUUCUUAUCAAUAGAAUUCUUUUUUUUCUUAUUUAGCUGUGCUACUAAAAUUGAUCCUGGAUGUUGUUGUUGAGUCACCGUCUGGGUAUUAGUGGAAUUCGUAUCAUCGCAUCGGUCAAAUCUCUUUUAUAUUGCAUCUAAAGCUUUCUUUUCACAUAUAGGUAGUGGUUUGGUACGAAUUUUGAUGCCCUCGUAGCAGAAUUGAGAACCAUCUGGUGAUAACUGAUCCAAUUUCACGGGAUUUGGGCCGACACUACCGCCAAAAACUGAGCGAACACAUCGUGGAAAAUGCACAGGCGAGACAACACCACGUCGUCCGAGCUUUGAGCUUGCCGUAAUAUACAUUUUGUACAGUUCCUGUUGCUCAAUUCGUGUAUUGAGAUUGGGUGCGGGCUCAAAUGUCGCACGUAACCACGCAAGGGCAAAUUGUUCAUUCUCCUGCGAGCGAAACAAUGAAAAAGAUACAUUACUUACUAUGAAAAUGAGAAAAAUGAAUGAACCAGUUUAUUCCAAAUAGGGAGACAUGCGGAUUGUGAUUUAUAAAUGAUUUAUAGAAAUAGAAGUUUUGUCAUUUAAAA